AUUGAACGCUGGCGGCAUGCCUUACACAUGCAAGUCGAACGGUAACAGGUCUUCGGAUGCUGACGGGUGGCGAACGGGUGAGUAAUACAUCGGAACGUGCCUAGUAGUGGGGGAUAACUACUCGAAAGAGUGGCUAAUACCGCAUGAGAUCUACGGAAGAAAGCAGGGGAUCGCAAGACCUUGUGCUACUAGAGCGGCCGAUGGCAGAUUAGGUAGUUGGUGGGAUAAAAGCUUACCAAGCCGACGAUCUGUAGCUGGUCUGAGAGGACGAUCAGCCACACUGGGACUGAGACACGGCCCAGACUCCUACGGGAGGCAGCAGUGGGGAAUUUUGGACAAUGGGCGCAAGCCUGAUCCAGCAAUGCCGCGUGCAGGAUGAAGGCCUUCGGGUUGUAAACUGCUUUUGUACGGAACGAAAAGCCCCGGGUUAAUACCCUGGGGUCAUGACGGUACCGUAAGAAUAAGCACCGGCUAACUACGUGCCAGCCGCCGCUGUAA
rnacentral:rRNA from 1 species